AGCGAACGCUGGCGGCAGGCCUAACACAUGCAAGUCGAACGAACUCUUCGGAGUUAGUGGCGGACGGGUGAGUAACACGUGGGAACGUGCCUUUAGGUUCGGAAUAACUCAGGGAAACUUGUGCUAAUACCGAAUGUGCCCUUCGGGGGAAAGAUUUCUCGCCUUUAGAGCGGCCCGCGUCUGAUUCGCUAGUUGGUGAGGUAAAGGCUCACCAAGGCGACGAUCAGUAGCUGGUCUGAGAGGAUGAUCAGUCACAUUGGGACUGAGACACGGCCCAAAAUCCGACGGGAGGCAGGAGUGGGGAAUCUUGCGCAAGGGACGAAAGUCUGACGCAGCCAUGCCGCGUGAAUGAUGAAGGUCUUAGGAUUGUAAAAUUCUUUCACCCGGGACGAUAAUGACGGUACCCGGAGAAGAAGCCCCGGCUAACUUCGUG
rnacentral:rRNA from 1 species